CACAGAGAGCUUGCUCUCGGGUGACGAGCGGCGGACGGGUGAGUAAUGUCUGGGAAACUGCCUGAUGGAGGGGGAUAACUACUGGAAACGGUAGCUAAUACCGCAUAACGUCGCAAGACCAAAGUGGGGGACCUUCGGGCCUCAUGCCAUCAGAUGUGCCCAGAUGGGAUUAGCUGGUAGGUGGGGUAACGGCUCACCUAGGCGACGAUCCCUAGCUGGUCUGAGAGGAUGACCAGCCACACUGGAACUGAGACACGGUCCAGACUCCUACGGGAGGCAGCAGUGGGGAAUAUUGCACAAUGGGCGCAAGCCUGAUGCAGCCAUGCCGCGUGUGUGAAGAAGGCCUUCGGGUUGUAAAGCACUUUCAGCGGGGAGGAAGGCGGUGAGGUUAAUAACCUCAUCGAUUGACGUUACCCGCAGAAGAAGCACCGGCUAACUCCGUGCCAGCAGCCGCGGUAAUACGGAGGGUGCAAGCGUUAAUCGGAAUUACUGGGCGUAAAGCGCACGCAGGCGGUCUGUCAAGUCGGAUGUGAAAUCCCCGGGCUCAACCUGGGAACUGCAUUCGAAACUGGCAGGCUAGAGUCUUGUAGAGGGGGGUAGAAUUCCAGGUGUAGCGGUGAAAUGCGUAGAGAUCUGGAGGAAUACCGGUGGCGAAGGCGGCCCCCUGGACAAAGACUGACGCUCAGGUGCGAAAGCGUGGGGAGCAAACAGGAUUAGAUACCCUGGUAGUCCACGCUGUAAACGAUGUCGAUUUGGAGGUUGUGCCCUUGAGGCGUGGCUUCCGGAGCUAACGCGUUAAAUCGACCGCCUGGGGAGUACGGCCGCAAGGUUAAAACUCAAAUGAAUUGACGGGGGCCCGCACAAGCGGUGGAGCAUGUGGUUUAAUUCGAUGCAACGCGAAGAACCUUACCUGGUCUUGACAUCCACAGAACUUUCCAGAGAUGGAUUGGUGCCUUCGGGAACUGUGAGACAGGUGCUGCAUGGCUGUCGUCAGCUCGUGUUGUGAAAUGUUGGGUUAAGUCCCGCAACGAGCGCAACCCUUAUCCUUUGUUGCCAGCGGUUAGGCCGGGAACUCAAAGGAGACUGCCAGUGAUAAACUGGAGGAAGGUGGGGAUGACGUCAAGUCAUCAUGGCCCUUACGACCAGGGCUACACACGUGCUACAAUGGCAUAUACAAAGAGAAGCGACCUCGCGAGAGCAAGCGGACCUCAUAAAGUAUGUCGUAGUCCGGAUUGGAGUCUGCAACUCGACUCCAUGAAGUCGGAAUCGCUAGUAAUCGUAGAUCAGAAUGCUACGGUGAAUACGUUCCCGGGCCUUGUACACACCGCCCGUCACACCAUGGGAGUGGGUUGCAAAAGAAGUAGGUAGCUUAACCUUCGGGAGGGCGCUUACC
rnacentral:rRNA from 1 species